UUUACGAGCAAAUCGAGUUUAACCAUCAUAGACACUUUACACAAUUUAUUUGCAGACUAGCUAAUAACCCGUGGCUAUAAUCAAGCAAAACCAUCAAAGAUACUGUACCAUUGUACGAUCAUCAUUAUCAGGAAUUUACACAAAGACCACAUAGAGCACAUCAAAGAUAUGAUACCAUCAACAUCACAAAACCAAAAGAUGUUUUUUAUAUUACCUAAAAUCAAUCAAAAUCAAGAAGAAUAUUGCUUCAACAUCUUUAUUGAUUUAUAAUUUUUUGAUAUGUUGAUUAUUUCUUUUUCUUUGACUUUUUGUACUGUGUAAAUU